rnacentral:rRNA from 1 species
CCGUUAUCCGGAUCGAGGACAGUGUAUGGUGGGUAGUUUGACUGGGGCGGUCUCCUCCUAAAGAGUAACGGAGGAGUACGAAGGUGCGCUCAGACCGGUCGGAAAUCGGUCGUAGAGUAUAAAGGCAAAAGCGCGCUUGACUGCGAUACAGACACGUCGAGCAGGUACGAAAGUAGGUCUUAGUGAUCCGUUGGUUCUGUAUGGAA